rnacentral:piRNA from 1 species
UAGGUUCAAAAAGUAAUUUAUAAUGCACC